UACGUAGGGUGCGAGCGUUAAUCGGAAUUACUGGGCGUAAAGCGCUCGCAGGCGGUCCUUUAAGUCUGAUGUGAAAGCCCACGGCUCAACCGUGGAGGGUCAUUGGAAACUGGGGGACUUGAGUGCAGAAGAGGAGAGUGGAAUUCCACGUGUAGCGGUGAAAUGCGUAGAGAUGUGGAGGAACACCAGUGGCGAAGGCGACUCUCUGGUCUGUAACUGACGCUGAGGCGCGAAAGCGUGGGGAGCAAACAGG
rnacentral:rRNA from 1 species